AGUGUGCGAUAAACAUGCCUCCACGUGGUGCACACUGGGCAACGUAUUCUUAUACGGCAAAAAGUCUAUA
rnacentral:ribozyme from 1 species